rnacentral:piRNA from 1 species
UGCCAGGUUUAAAUAGCCAAUGUUUACUAA